AUGGUGCGUGUGAUAGCUGCAUAUGAGGAUGUACGAAGGAUUUGGCUGCGAACUCAAUCAGACCAUUGGAUUGAAGCUGAAGGGGGCAUUGCAAAGAUACGAAGGAAUGGCCUUUCGUUCAUAACCUGGUCAGCUACACAACAUCUGGUCGUACAUGUUUCUGUUGCAGCGGCCCAGUUACGUGGAGAAGAAUGGCAUACGCUGAGGAUUGUGUCAGCUGAUUUUCUAACUCAUGGAUUCUCAUUUAUCUCUUCAAUUUACACAAGGAGGUGCAUUAUCAGCUCUUAUGUAUUUUCUUAA
rnacentral:rRNA from 1 species